AGCGGUAUGAUGAAAUUGGCUAGACAUAAUAGACUUUGACUCUAUUGAGCAGUAGCUCGUGUGGGUUCGAAUCCCACUACCGCCG
rfam:Ruminococcus sp. CAG:9 genomic scaffold, scf105